rnacentral:lncRNA from 1 species
GGAGAAAUGUAGCUUAAUCUAAUUUAAAAUAAAUUUGAUUUAUUUGAAUUUUCUCUUUUUGCUUUGAAUUCUUUUUGAUUAAUCGGUUAUGUUAAUAAUUAGAAAUAUGAGAAGAAAAAAAAUGAUUUGAAAAAGAAAAAAACGCAGAGAAGAAAAGAAAAGAAAGGGAGAAAAGAAAAGGGAAAAGGAGGAGAAAAAUCAAUAUUUUCAUCUCAAGGCGUCAAGACUGGAUUUUAUUUGGAAGUGCAACAAAGGAGGAAGGCUAAAGUCCCGAAGUGAUUGUUCGAUAAAUGAGGUUGUGAGCCUGGAUUUUUGUUGUACUUGUCAUUCUCUUCUUUUCCCAGGCUUCUUGGAGAUUUGUGAGGCAGCUGUUUCCAUCUCAACAGACUUUCUUCUCCUUAAUUAUGAUCAAGUUCUAUUCUAGAAAAAAGUUCAUUUGAGACUUGAGUUUUUCAUUUGAAUCAAUUGUAAUAUUUUAGAGGCUUGUACACGUGAAUACCAGGUUUUGGGUUUUUUUUAUAAGUUACUUAUAUUUUAGUUCCGCACUUAUUGUAAUGGUUGAGUUUUAGGCUGG